GCCCGCCUAGCUCAAUCGGAUAGAGCGUCAGACUCUUAAAGGAGUGGCGGGUUCUCACGAGCGCGUGAUCUGAAGGCUGCGAGUUCGACCCUCGCGGUGGGCU
rfam:Phanerochaete carnosa HHB-10118-sp unplaced genomic scaffold PHACAscaffold_1, whole genome shotgun sequence.